UACAGAGGUCUCAAGCGUUGUUCGGAUUCAUUGGGCGUAAAGGGUGCGUAGGUGGCGCGCUAAGUCGGUUGUGAAAUUUCGGAGCUUAACUCCGAAACUGCAUUCGAUACUGGCGUGCUCGAGGACUGGAGAGGAGACUGGAAUUCAUGGUGUAGCAGUGAAAUGCGUAGAGAUCAUGAGGAAGACCAGUGGCGAAGGCGGGUCUCUGGGCAGUAACUGACGCUGAGGAGCGAAAGCGUGGGGAGCGAACAGG
rnacentral:rRNA from 1 species